rnacentral:rRNA from 1 species
GACGUAGGGCGCGAGCGUUUGUCCGGAUUUAUUGGGCGUAAAGAGCUCGUAGGCGGCUUGUCGCGUCGACUGUGAAAACCCGCGGCUCAACUGCGGGCCUGCAGCCGAUACGGGCAGGCUAGAGUUCGGUAGGGGAGACUGGAAUUCCUGGUGUAGCGGUGAAAUGCGCAGAUAUCAGGAGGAACACCGGUGGCGAAAGGCGGG